UUCUAUACAGUGAUUACUAGUGGCGCCUCGCUUGAGGACUUUUUUUUUUAUCCCACCAUUGAAUUAUCGAAUUCAGAUCAAAAUUAAUUACGUUGAUAUUAAAAUACACCUGAACAGUAUUAAUUCAGAUUUCUAAAAUAAAAUUAUUUUCAUGAAUAAAUAAAAUAUAUGUGAUGGACUUUUCAUUAUUGAGUGUAAAUGAACUCAUUACACAAUUACAGUCCGUAAUUGACGAUCAAGAAAUUAUCGAAACUUUCCAAGGCUUUUUUUUUUUCAUAGAUUUUAAUUUUAAUAUUAAACAUGCAGUCAUUGAAUUGUUCACUGUGUAACGAGAAAAUCCCAGGAGCAUUGAACGGCUUGAGCCGGCAUCUUGUAAAUGAUCAUGGGCUAUCACUUAAACGCGGAAUGGGUAAUUCUGGUUUUCGAUGUGGUCAAAAUGGUUGUCAGAGUCGAUUUUGUCAUUUUUACACUCUGAGAGACCAUAUAAAUAAACAUCAUUUAAACGAUAAUUAUGAUGAAGUUUUACAAGAAAACAAUGAAAUUAAUAUUAAUAUUCAGGAUCAGAGAAUUGACGAUGUUGGUAUUGGCAAUCAAGAUAAUCAUUAUAUCGAUAACGAUUAUCAAGAUGACGAAGAGCCUUUGAUUCCCGAUAAUAAUGAAAUGAACUUUGAUUUACGAAAAUAUGUUGUUCAAAUGGUUGCUAAGUUUCAAUGCAAACCUUCAAUGACAACAAGUUUAUUAGUUGAACUUCUGGAUGAAUGUGAGCAACUUUUGUUUCAUACUCGUGAUUACUUGAAACAGAAGGUGGAACGAUUUUUGAAUACGCGACAACUACACGAUGAUGAAGCUAUGAAUCUGCUCAAAGCAUUUGCAUUUGAUAGCCCUUUUACCGGACUUAAAACUUUAAAUGGCCAAAUCGAAUUAUUAAAACAGCAUUGUCACUACAUUGAGCCAAUUGAGAUCCCUCUUGGAUAUAGGAUGGACAGUAUUCUUGAUAAAAGUACUGGAACUUAUAUGCCUAAACAGGUCCUGGAAACUUGUCAAUAUGUACCUGUUAUUCCGACUUUGACUCUAGUUAUGUCCAGUCCAGAGAUACGAAAAGCUGUCGAGUCUGAAAAAAAAAUCUCCUGACGAUGUUUUAGCUUCAUUUUUGGACGGAGAAUACAUUAAGAUUCAUCUAUUGUUUUCACGAUACCCGCGUGCUUUGAGAUUGCAAUUAUACUAUGAUGAGUUGGAAAUUGUCAAUCCUCUAGGCUCAAAAACUGGUGUCCAUAAACUUGGUAUAUUUUACUAUACCAUUCAAAAUUUACCACCUCAAAUAAAUUCCGAAUUAAGUGCCAUACAUGUCCUUGCAAUGUGCUCUGAUGCAGAUGAAAAGAAAUAUGGAUUUCACAAAAUACUUGCUCCAUUUAUAGAAGAAUUACGUCACUUAGAGAGUGAUGAUGGUAUAUCCAUUGAAACAACUGAAGGAGAAUUCGUUCUUCGUGCUUCUAUCGCAGAAUUUUGUGGGGAUGGAUUAGCCGUUCAUGAUGUCUUUAAUUUUUUUGCGCCAUCAGCAAAUUAUUUUUGUCGGAUGUGUAUGUAUAGCAGAAAUGAUUUACAUUCUGGAAGUUUAGAACUUGGUCAGAAACGCAGUAGAGAACUCUAUGAUCAACAUAUAACAUUCCUUAGACAAAAUAAUUUUUCAGCUGAAUCAAAAACACAAACUGGACUUCGAGGAGAAUGCUGCUUACAUGAAUCCCGAUAUUUUCAUGUCUCUGAUAAUAAAGUUUUCGACGUGAUGCAUGAUUUGUUGUGCGGUAUAUGUCCUAUGAUAAUCAAACUGGUGUUAAAUGAGUAUAUUUUAAAUCAGAAAAAAUUUAACUGUGCAUAUUUUAAUGGAAAAAUAAUGUCUUUUCAAUAUGGAUUUAUUGAAAUGACAAAUAAACCUUCUGCGAAUUUUACUGAUGGAAUGCUUCGUAAAAGUGAACAUACAUUAAGUCAAAAAGCAAUGCAAAUCUGGUGUCUGAUUCGAGCUUUUUCAUUUUUGAUUGCCGAUAAAAUUCCUCCAGGAGAUAAACAUAUGGCACUUAUAUUAAAUUUGUUAAAAAUAAUGGAGAUCGUCUUUGCUCCCAAAAUUAAUAGUCGUUACCUGAGAAGCUUACAGAAUCUAAUUACUAAUUUUCAUACUAACUUCCUCAUAUUGUUUCCAAAUGUAAAUCCUAUAAAUAAGUUUCAUCAUCUUGCUCAUUAUGUAGAAUGUAUCCGAUGGAUGGGACCUUUGAUAAACCGUUGGUGCAUGAGGUAUGAGGCAAAGCAUGGCGACAUUAGACUUCGUGCUCAAAAUGUUCACAACUUUAAAAAUUUACCUAAAACGCUAAUAAGACUAUGUCAGUGUAGCCAGAGCGCUAAGUGGGGUGCAGCAGAUGUGAAAAUUAAUCGAUUUAUGGCGUCUAACGGAGAUAUUGUUGCAGUUGAAGAUACAGCAAGUAGAGAAGCUCUCCAUUCUUUAGAUUAUAUUGAUACUGAUGAAGUGAUUCGUUAUAACUCUGUAAAAGUCAAUGGGGUUGAAUUUCGAGUUGGCUUAUAUAUAUGCUUUGAAACAUCACAUAUUCGAGAAGAUAAUUUAUGUCUGUUUGGAUGUGUUCAAGAAAUUAUUGUUUUAAGAAAUAGUGAUGUACAUUUCUUAUUUCAGUUUAUACAACAACUGAAUUUGAUACGAAUUUAAAUGCUUAUCACAUUGAGCCUAAUGACAAUGACGAUGAUCCAGGUCUUUUUAUUGAAACGUAUAAACUUCCGUACUUCAAACCAUUCUGUUGUUGGACGAAACCAGAAUCAAAUGACUUAUAUAUUAGUCUUCGUCAUAUAUUGUUAUGAUUUAUCAUUCCCAAUACUUUGUCAUCACUUUGUGAUGAAGGUAUUGAUGGGGCAGUAUUUUUGGAUCUAUCCGAAAAAGAUCUUAUCGCCUUAAAUAUAAAAAUGGGACCAAGGAAACGUAUUCUAAAAUUUAUUGAAUCAGUAAAUCUAAAAAAAAAUAUUGACGGAUCAUAUAUUAUUGAAGAUGAUGGAUCGUUGACAAAAUCUACAGGCAAUAAUUUUGAAAAAUCUACUACUUUUAUUCAAGGGCAUCCAUUGAAUAUACCUUCUUGCUCUAAACAAACUCCUGAUUCGUCUUUUAUAAAUGUAAAAUCUUCAUCGGAUUCCUCCAAUCUUAGCUCAGUUGUGGUUCAAAAAUCACCACAUACAUUCUCACGGUACGGCACAGUCAAAAAUACUUUGCUCAAUCAUCCCCAGGGUAAAUCAAUAUUAGAAUUAAUUCAAGAUUCAUGGAGCGAAGAAAAUCGUAAAUCAUUAGUACGGAUAGUAGUCGCGGAGUUAAUUAAAGCUCAAGAUAGUCUUUACCCGCCAAAAGAAGCCAAAGUCGCCCUCGCUAAGGCAAUAACAAGCGAAUUUCCUCGGCUGAAAGAUACAAAACUUAACGUAGGAUAUGAGCACUAUUAUAAUGAGACAUCAGCCAAUAAUCGAGGUUUUAUAGAAAACCGCUUGAUAACAAUCAGAAAAACUUUGAGUCCUUCAAAAAAAACAAUAUAAAAUAAGUCAACAAAAUAAAAAUACACAUGUACCUACAAGCAAUUCUGAUAACCAAUUACCUGAAGAAAUAAUCAGAUAAAUAAUUUCAUCAAUGAAACUAAAAAUGCCCACAGAGUGCAAUAAAAAACAAAUAAUAUCGUACAUAAAAGACACCAGAAAUUUUCGACGAGACUGGAUACGUUCUACUAAUCCCAGUAUAACCGAAAUCUUUGAAAUGUAUCCAAGGCUGAUAGAUUACAAUGGUGACAUGAUUAAUUUGGAAUUUGAAGCAUUAUUUCCAAAAAAUGCAGAUAAUUUUUUAUCGAAAUUCCCAACUCUUUAUACUCCAAAAAUCCUGGCCUAUACCAAAAAAUAUCGACCAGCACUGUACAAAGCAUCUUCGAAUAUUGGAAACAAUGAUCUACGGGUCUAUUAGUCCUUGUUGAGUUGCUUCCUGUAUGCAACUCUGUGAAAACGCCAAAAGGGAAAGGAAAAGGAAAGGGAAAAAAGAGGCAAAUCAAUGAGGACAAUGAAAAAGAGGAACCGUUAAAACUAGAUUUUCCGAAUCAGUAUUUACUUAGGCAUGAACCAGAAGGUACUAAUUUAGACCAGUUAGUCAACAGUGUUACUACUAAAAGCAAAGUAAGUGUUCAACCUUAUUUAGUUGCUGUAAGUGGACAGUCUCGUGACUGCAUGUUUAUAAACGGAGAUGGAUGGUUUAUCAGUGUAAACGAUAAAGGCAAUCGAGUCAUAAGUUUUGACCAAUUACAUAAAAUAUUUUAUGUUUUAAAUGUCGAGUACCCUUAUAGUCUUCGUAAUUUUUAUAAUUCUAUGGACUUCUGCGUAUAUGGAAUGAACGUGAAACCUUACAGUCUGGUAUCUUCUGUCCACGUAAAUAUAACAUAUAUUAACAUAAAUGAUGAUUCUGAAGAUGAUGACGAUGGCAGCUGUAUUUCAGCGAUUUAAUUUAGUUUUUUAAUUAUUUAUUUUUAAAUUCUCAUUUCAUUGCAUUCUUUAUGUUUUAUUACUAUUUUUAAUUUUUUAUUAAA